UCUACCUAGUUUAGAAGAAGAUAGUUCCCCCACGGAUCACUGAAGUUAAGCAAUAUUGCGCGAGGUUAGUACCUGGAUGGGUGACCAUCUGGGCAUUCGGGUGCUGCUGGGU
rnacentral:rRNA from 1 species